UUGCGAGUGAAGCGGCAACAGCUCAGAUUUGAAACCUGGCCCCGGGCCCGGAUUGUAAUCUGUAGAAGGUGCCUCGGGCGAGACUUUGGUCUAAGUUCCUUGGAACAGGGCGUCACAGAGGGUGAGAAUCCCGUACGUGGCCGAAAGUCGACCCCAUGCGAGGCCCUUUCGACGAGUCGAGUUGUUUGGGAAUGCAGCUCUAAAUGGGUGGUAAAUUUCAUCUAAAGCUAAAUACCGGCCAGAGACCGAUAGCGCACAAGUAGAGUGAUCGAAAGAUGAAAAGCACUUUGAAAAGAGAGUCAAACAGUACGUGAAAUUGUUGAAAGGGAAGCGCUUGCAACCAGACUCGCGCGCGGGUGUUCAGCCGUCCUUCGGGGCGGUGCGCUCUCCCGUGCCCGGGCCAGCAUCGGUUCGGGCGACCGGAUAAAGGCCCCGGGAACGUAGUUCUCUUCGGGGAAUGUUAUAGCCCGGGGUGCAAUGCGGCCAGCCUGGACCGAGGACCGCGCUUUUGCUAGGAUGCUGGCGUAAUGGUUGCCAGCGACCCGUCUUGAAACACGG
rnacentral:rRNA from 1 species